rnacentral:rRNA from 1 species
AUGGGGUGCAGCAGGCGAGAAAACUUUGCAAUGUGCGAAAGCACGACAAGGUUAAUCCGAGUGGUUUCUGCUAAAGGAACCUUUUGACAGUCCUAAAAACACUGUUGAAUAAGGGGUGGGCAAGUUCUGGUGUCAGCCGCCGCGGUAAAACCAGCACCUCAAGUGGUCAGGAUGAUUAUUGGGCCUAAAGCAUCCGUAGCCGGCUCUGUAAGUUUUCGGUUAAAUCUGUACGCUCAACGUACAGACUGCUGGGAAUACUGCAGAGCUAGGGAGUGGGAGAGGUAGACGGUACUCGGGAGGAAGUGGUAAAAUGCUUUGAUCUCUCGAUGACCACCUGUGGCGAAGGCGGUCUACCAGAACACGUCCGACGGUGAGGGAUGAAAGCUGGGGGAGCAAACCGGAUUAGAUACCCGGGUAGUCCCAGCUGUAAACUAUGCAAACUCAGUGAUGCAUUGGCUUGUGGCCAGUGCAGUGCCGCAGAGAAGUCGUUAAGUUUGCCGCCUGGGAAGUACGUACGCAAGUAUGAAACUUAAAGGAAUUGGCGGGGGAGCAC